UAACACAAACUAACACAGAAAAUUGGAAUUGAGGAGUGGAACAUGGCUAUAAAGAUUCCUGAAAAUGUGGAAGCAGCUUUGGAAUUAGCUCUGCUUCCAGGAGUGCCCUGGGAAUGCCUCCCAGCCCCACACCUGUCCUGUCGGCCCAGGCGAGCUCCAUGCCAUGUGGCAUCUCUGCUGGUGGCCACCUGGAAACUCCGAUGGCACUUCCCAGCCCAGCCAUGGCAGCCACCUCAGUAACAAGACCAUCUCCUUGACUGAGUUCCAGCCAGGCUCCUUGGAGCCUCUCCACUCGGCCUCAACUUUGGCUUGUAAAGACUUGAGCAGACACUAACAGUGUCUAACAGCUUCUGGCCGCACCCCUAGGCCGACCCCUGCCCCGUCAACACCUGCCUGAGAAAGCUCCGUGCACCAGAACUGACUGACUGCUCCAACCCCGACCUCCCUUUCUCAGGGCAUCUGCUGAAAGGCCUGCGACCACACGUCCUUCUGUCCGUUCCCGAGGUCUGUGCAUUUCCUGUGACCCAGGAGGGCCUUUCUCGGGACCUGAGAGCCACUCCCUGAAGUGUCCCCAUUGGGAAGAUGGGGCCAGUGUCUCCAGGCUCUGGGAGGACAGAAUCCUGACCUCAACAGUGGCCAGCGUGGACACAGCAGGCCCCAUCCCAGCGACGCUGACCAGUGCUGGGCAACUUUUCCCUUCCCCGACGACUGAGCCCCGAGCACCCUCCCUGCUCCCUGUACCAUCUCCCUUUACAAGGCUGUCGCCUCUGCACAGACGAAGGUGUGUUCAGGUCUUGCUGGACUCUUUCUUCUGUUGCAAUAGUUAUUUCUGUUGAAAAUCUGUCCUUGCUAUGUGACCUAGUGCCCAGCUUUAUCUUUGAAAAUGUCUGUCUCCACCUCUGCCUCUCCGGCCUGGUCCUCGUUUCUGGCACCCAACAUGUCUCUUACGGGCUGAAUUUUGCCCCAGAAUGAAUCACACACCAGGUUUCACCCAGACCUGAUUAAGGUGAUAUUUUGAUGAGAUUUUAGGCUGAGAAUUGAUGCGGAAAGGGCUAAGACUUGGGGGAUGCUGAGAUAGGAUCAAUGUAUUUUGCAUGUGAGAAGAACAUGAAUUUUGGGGGGCCAGAGUAUGGACUGUUAUGAGUUACGUUGUGACCCUGACAAAUUCAUAUAUUGAAGUCUUAAUCCCUGCCUCACAAUGUGACUGUUUGGAGAUGGGGUCUUUACAGAGCUCAUUACGUUCCUAUGAGAUCACUAAUCUAAUCUGAUGUGUGUUCUUCUAAGAAGAGAAGCUUAGGACGCGGGCACACAGAGGGAUGGCCAUGUGAGGAC